GAUGAACUUGAAGCUCAAUCAUCAACAUCAUUGAUGUACAGCACUGAAUUGUUAUCAGCUACAAAAAGAGAUUGCCUUCGAUGCAACGGUGACUUGAUGAAUAUUUGUAAAGUGUGUACUAGUCACUGUAGUGUUUGUGAGUCCAAUGAUUGCUGUAGAACCUGCUCAACAUCAUCUGGUUUUUAUAUUCUUGCUUGGGAUAACUGUUCAUGCAUCUCCUAUGCAGGACACCUUUUGUUAUUAUUAUUCAUUAUCAGUGCUAUAUGGAUCACAGUAUCUAUAUGCAUUCUUAUCACUUCUCUACUGCUGCAGAAAUACAAAAAGUUUAUUUUUAGAGGAAAGAAAGAG